UACGUAGGUGGCAAGCGUUGUCCGGAUUUACUGGGCGUAAAGAGCGCGCAGGCGGUCGUUCAAGUCGCGUGUGAAAGCCCCCGGCUCAACUGGGGAGGGUCACGCGAUACUGAUCGACUGGAAGGCAGGAGAGGGUAGUGGAAUUCCCGGUGUAGUGGUGAAAUGCGUAGAUAUCGAGAGGAACACCUGCGGCGAAGGCGGGUAGCUGGGCCGACACUGACGCUGAUGCGCGAAAGCCAGGGGAGCGAACGGG
rnacentral:rRNA from 1 species